UGAGGAAUAUUGGUCAAUGGACGAGAGUCUGAACCAGCCAAAUCGCGUGAAGGAAGACUGCCCUACGGGUUGUAAACUUCUUUUGUACAGGAAUAAAAGACAUUACGUGUAAUGUAUUGCAUGUACUGUACGAAUAAGCAUCGGCUAACUCCGUGCCAGCAGCCGCGGUAAUACGGAGGAUGCGAGCGUUAUCCGGAUUUAUUGGGUUAAAGGGUGCGCAGGCGGGAUUUUAAGUCAGCGGUGAAAUUUUCAGGCUCAACCUGAACACUGCCGUUGNAACUGGGAUUCUUGAGUAUGGAUGAAGUAGGCGGAAUUCGUUGUGUAGCGGUGACAUGCUUAGAUAUAACGAGGAACUCCGAUUGCGUAGGCAGCUUACUAAGCCAUAACUGACGCUCAAGCACGAAAGCGUGGGGAUCAAACA
rnacentral:rRNA from 1 species